AUGACGAAGGAACAGCUUGCCAAAUUGUGCAAGACAAUUGUAACCUUCAUCGCACAGACCACCCUGCAGAUCCUGCUGCCAGCCCUGGCCCGCGUACUUGGGGUAAAGGACUUUGCUGACGACGACACUGACUCACCCAAGAGGGGUGGCAGUGCAAGAUCCUUUGCUGCCUUUGAUCAGGAAAGACUGGAGCUCAUCCAGGAAGUUAGAUAUCUGGCGAAGAAAAUGUAUAAGGGCGGCACAGGGGCUCAACAUCUCAGGUCCCUAACACCCUCUUCUAAGAGUUCCCAGACCUCAGUGAAAGUCCUCCUGGGAAUGACAGAGGACAGAAUCAUCAAAAGUGUCCAGGAGCAACUGUCUGAUCAUAAUAUCCUGUCCUCUUGCCCACCUGAGCUGACUGUUGGUCUUAUCAAGGUGGUGGUCGAACAGCUUAACUCUGCCCUCUCUGCGACCAUCAGCAGAGCCAUUUCAGGGCGGUCCUCCCCUAUUUCUUCUGGUACCCAGGCCGCUGAACAAAUGGUCAACAUGGUCCAGAAAUGUUUUGAUGAUCACACCACCCCAGAGGACCAGAGCUCUACCUCUGUAUUAGAGUCAUGCAUUCCACCUGCAACAGAAGAAGUGAUGACUGUUAUCGCAGAGAUGGUGGGUGAAUUGGAAAAAGAAGAUCCGGAAUUGGCUAAGGUUUUUCGAGAAGUGGCCGUGAAAGUUAAAAUGUUGGCAUCUGGCAGUGACCUUGUAGUGGAGCACCUGGAUGUUGAAGACUCUCCUGUUCCAGAGGAGCUGAACAUAAUAUGUACAUCUUGCAAAGCAAUGAUGCAAAAUCUUGGCACUCUGUUUAGUGUGAAGUUCAAGACCAAAGCCUCAAAGGCUGUGAGUGAAAUUCUUGUGAGAAGGUUAAUGAGCGAUAUCUCUGGUAUGGUUCAACCUUCUCAUUCGUUUAGUACCACUCCAAGCUUGAUGAAUGCAUCUAGCCCAUCUGACAGGAUCCUUGAUUCUGCGGCCACUGAGCUCAUACAGACCAAAGUAGAAUCUGAGGCAUCAAAAAUAAUUGAUAACUUUGUUGAAGAUGUCAAGGACAUUGUGCAGUAUGCUGAAUUAGAUCAGCCAACAAGCACCCAGAGAGAUACCCAAGUGGGACACUGUACGACAAAGCGGAAACCCUUCCAUGCAGCUCGUAGACUCUGCGAGAGACUUCAGGCAAAGCUGGAGACAUUGUUCCUCAGAAUGGGUGGAGCUCCAGUCCAAGGGGAAGAACUUAUGGAAAAAGCUGACUCCAGUGCUGUGCUUCUGGAGCAUACUGACUCCAGUGAUCUGCCUGUUUCAAUCCUGAGCUUGCCUUCCCCAUGUAGGAGUGAAUCCCCUAUAUCAGAACGUAGUUCAUCUUCUUUAUCUGAUGGAUGUGAUUCAACUGACUCUGUAGGAGAGAAAACACCAGAGCAACCUGAAACCAGUAAGAGUGAGGCAAUACUGCAAGUGGUCAACUCAACAGGACUUGGUUCUCUCCGUAAAUGCCAAAGUGAGAACUCUCAACCAUUACUGUCUCUCUGUGAUUCCAACAUGGUGCCCUGCACCAAAGAGGUCUUGUCCCAGAUUGUGACCAUGUAUAGGUCAGAGGUGGCAGAUUUGGAAUGCACAUCAUCUGUUGCAGAGGGUUCCUCUUACAACUCCCUUGAAGUCUGUGGCUUUUUGGACAGUGUCAUGUCUUAUCUAGAAGACAUGCCUGUGUCUGGUUCUUCAUGGUUGGAAGGAUUAAGAGAUACUCCAGCCUCAGUCAUUGAGAAACUCUCCAGUGAGGAGUUCCAGAUGAACGCUACCAACGAAGUGCGAAAAAUACUGAUCAAAUCAGUCAGUAGCUUUCCCAGCAAAGUCAGUUCCAGCCAGACAGAUUCUCAGAUGUUGCCAGCAAAAUCAACAAUUUCCUUAAGGCAUACAGAUAUAACUGCUUUUGAAAUCGUUGGAUCAAUUACAAAUGACAUGAAGAGCCUUUUCCCACCCACAGAGUCUUCUACUACUCUAUGGCAGGCAGACUCUAUGCUUCAACAGAGUGAUGAGAAAACCUCAGAGUACACUGAGGCCACACCCAAAGGCUCACAGUCUGGUUUGGAAGUAUCUGAGAAGAAGAUCUGGACAACUGCAAAGACUAUUUACCACAAUGUGAAGACAAAGAUGAGGAAUUAUUUUACAUGGCAAAAUCCAGUCAAAGCAACAACGGCUCAAGCCAAAAAGACCCUCAGCCAUAUUCUGGUUUCAAUUCAGAAAGAGCUGUCAAAAUCGGACCAAACGGUGACUGCGCUUUCACAAAUAGAGAAUGUGGUUGGAAUGAUGCUGAAGGAUGUUGAAAGGGUAAGCAGUGAAUGUGGUGAGGAACUGAUCUAUCAAGCGCCACAGCGUUCUUCCUCCUCGUUGUCAUCCUCAUCUGCCAGAUCAAAGAAGUCAGAGUGGGAAUUUUCACUCCCUGGCACUCCCAUCUCUUCUGAUUUACCAGAGAGUAUUACUCAGCCCAUUGUGAGAUGCUCAGUCAUCGACAUGGGCAAAUCUACUAAGCCAAAAACAUUGGUGUGUGAUGCCAGGGAAAGCAUGUCUGCAAUAGUGGAUACCAUCAUAAAGGAGGUACAUCCAGAGGAAGAAGGGGAGGUUGCAUUCCAACCUGAUCUAACAGCUGCAAUAGCAAGACUGGAGGAGCUCAUAUCUCAGGGUAGGAUUGGUGCUCUCUCACGUGAUCUUACUCACCAAGUCAACCGCAUCAUUUCUGAGAGCAACUUGACCCCUCUGGUUCUGACAGUGGCGGCUGGAAAGAGUGCAUCCGAUACAGUCCUUACUGAGCUGAAGAGGAAUGACAAGACGGUGGGGAAGCCCACAGCUUACAAGCUGGUUCAGCUUUUUGCAGAGGAGUCUGUGAAGCGCCUCUUGCUUCCUAGCCUUGUGCCCUCUACAGCUUCAAUGAGUUUGGCUCAGGGAGUUAGUGUGCCGGCUAGCGUAUCUGAAGAUAGGAUUUCAUGUUAUUUUUCUACAUCAGCAUUUAGUGACACAGUCAGCCUGUUUACCAAAGUAAUGGUAAGCCAGGUCAUGGACUCUGUGGUUUCUGAUGCACAAAGCAGAGGGUCAUCUCCAACCGGAACUGUAACUGAUAUAGGCAGUCUACUGAGUGGUAAGUCCUACCCUCUGCCAUCUUUCUCCGCCAUCAGCAUGACAACAAGUGGGACCUCCAAUGCUGCACGAGGCUUUGAGGCCAACAUAGAUGCUGAGGAAAGGGAUACCAUCAGUUGUUUCGGUGUACCUCAGAGCAUUGUUUGUGAUCAGAAUUCAACCAGCCCGGAUGUUGCUUCGCUUUCAACCCCAUCCACUGACAACUUAGUCAGUGAUGAUGACUUCACCGGCCUCAUCAGCAUGUUAGUGGUGAGACUUCUGUCAAAAAUCCAAACCCAAACUGAUCUGUACCCAACUGACGUCACACGCACGUCACAAGACCUGAUUCCAAAAGUUAUAGCUGCCUUCUGUGCAUGGUCAGGCUGCUCUGAGACCCAAGCUUAUCCCAAGAACCUGAAGAGUCACAAAGUAUACAGCACCGUCUACAAACAUCUGUUGAAGGAGUUUGGCUCAGAGAAAAUACUCCAACUGGCCGUGUCGACUCAGGACUCCACUUUCAAUAGGAUUCUUGUGAAGUCAUUGAGCAAGGAGCUUCUCCACAGUUGUAACGAGGCAUCAAGAGCAGCCUCAAGAACAUCUUUCGAAGCCACCAGGCCAGAAGCUCUUCUCAUGGCUGAAGAUGUGAAGGCUACCAGAGGGAAGCUGUCUUUCCUACAAAGGCUUGCCAGACUGAAAUUCAACUUAAAGGUACAUCACACUUAUUUAAGUUAACAAUUGUGUCAAUGUGAGUAAACAAUGUUAUUUAGAGAAAAUGUAAAACCAUCCAUUAAUUCCAAAACCAUUUAUAAAUCUUGUUGUGCUGGUGUGUAAGAUGUGAUCGUUAUUACCGUGAGAUUGUUCUGCUGUGACAGUUGUUUUGACAUGUUUUUGUUUUAGCCAUUCAUGAUGGGAAACAAGAAGGAUUCCAAUAAGAAAUCCCGCCAUUCUGAAUCCAAAGACCAGACUACUGCUGAAGAUAUCAUGUGUAAGUCCAUACAGCAGGACAUUUACUGUUUGAGAUAUUGGUGUACAAAGCUGCUAUUGCAAAAAUAUUAAACCCUAUAUACAGUACAUUAUAUAUUAUCGAUAGUAAUCUCUUAUGUAAAAUUAUUUAUAGUUUCCAAAUCUCAAGAUUCUGGUUCUCAUUUAUUUGUGAAAGUAAUAAUGAGUUGAAACUAAGAAUACAAUAUACCAUCAUUUCUAAAUGAAAGUGCAUGUCAACUCUCUCUCUCUUCUGUCGCCCAACAUAGUGGCACAUCCUGCCACAUUUGGACUCCCAGAGGGUCUUCCCUCCACCUCUCAACAGGAGAAGCCUCGCAAAAGUCACCUUCUAAUCAGGAUGUUUUCCACCAUCUCCAUAGGCCUAUCCAAGCCAUUCAAACGGUUUUCAAAGCAAGCUUAAUACAACAAUUUCCUUUAAUACAGUAAUAUUUGCAUUGAAUUGAUGGCCUUUGUCUUCUUUAUUGUUGCCCUGUUAACACAUUUGAUUAGAAAAUACAUAGUAUAUUUAGUUUAGUUUAUUAUGCAGUCAUAGUCACGGUGUAGGCUAAACAAAGUAAUGUUGUCCUGAAUAAUGUAUAGAACAUGCACCCACCCACACACACACACACACACACACACACACACAGUGUUAUUCAUUGAGCUCACACACAUAGUUGUCACACCCUGGUCAAAGUAUUUUGUGUUUAUCUUUAUUUAUUUGGUCAGGCCAGGGUGUGGCAUGGGUUUUUGUAUGUGGUGUGUAUGUAUGGGGAUUGUAGCUAGUGGGGUGUUCUAGCUAAGUCUAUGGCUGUCUGAAGUGGUUCUCAAUCAGAGGCAGGUGUUUAUCGUUGUCUCUGAUUGGGAACCAUAUUUAGGCAGCCAUAUUCUUUGAGUUUGUCGUGGGUGAUUGUCCUUUGUGUCCUGAAGUCAUUGUUCUGUGUUAGGAGACACAAGUAUAGGCUGUUUCGGGUUUUGUUAAGUUUAUUGUUUUGGUAGUGUUUGUGUUUAGUGUGUUAAUUCAUUAAACAUGGAUUGCAAUAGACACGCCGCAUUUUGGUCCGACUCUCCUUCACAUAAAGAAAACCGUUACAGAAUCACCCACCACAAAGGGACCAAGCAGCGUGUCAACAGGCAAGAACAGCCCAAAGUGGAGUACAGUAUGGACUAUACUUCUUGGGAGGAGAUAGACAGGUGGGCGGUCGACCCAGGGAGAGUGCCGGAGCCCGCCUGGGAUUCGAUGGAGCAGUGCGCGGAAGGAUAUAGGAGAAUGGAGUUUGCGAAGCAAGCAAGGCGGCGCGGACGGAGGCCCCAUAGUCAGCCCCAAAAAUUUCUUGGGGGGGGGCUCAGGGAGAGUGUGGCAGAGUCAGGAGCCAGACCUGAGCCAACUCUCCCUGUUUAUCGUGAGGAGCCAAGGAGGAGACCAGAACCAGAGCCGGUGUUGGAGGUGAACGAAACAGAGACUGUGAAGGAGUUAAUGGGGAAAUUGGAGGAGAGAGAAAUGAGGGAGUUGCUGUGUUGGUGUUUUAAACAUGGAAUUCGCCCGACGGAGCGUGUCGGGGAUUUGAUGGCACCUGGGUCAGCGCUCCAUACUCGUCCUGAGGUGCGUGUUAGUCGGCUGGUGAAGAUGGUGCCAGUCUCACGUACCAGGCCUCCUGUGCACCUCCCUAGCCUUGCACGUCCUGUGCCAGCACCGCUCUCAAGAUCUCCAGUACGCCUUCACGGUCUAACCCAUCCUGUGCCACCUCCACACCCCAGCCCUCCGGUAGCAGCUCCCCGCACCAGGCUUCCUGUGCGUGUCCUCGGCCCAGUACCACCAGUGCCAGCACCACGCAUCAGGCCUACAGUGCGCCUCGCCUGUCCAGCGCUGUCGGAGCCCUCCUCCUCUCCAGCGCUGUCGGAGUCUCCCGCCUGUUCAGAACUGCCAGUUAGCAUAGAGCUGCCAGUUAGCAUAGAGCUGCCAGUUAGCAUAGAGCUGCCAGUUAGCAUAGAGCUGCCAGUUAGCAUAGAGCUGCCAGUCUGCAAGGAGCUGCCAGUCUGCAAGGAGCUGCCAGUCUGCAAGGAGCUGCCAGUCUGCAAGGAGCUGCCAGUCUGCAAGGAGCUGCCAGAGCUGCCUGUCUGCAAGGAGCCGCCAGAGCUGCCUGUCUGCAGGAUGCCGCCAGAGCUGCCAGUCUGCAAGGAGCCGCCAGAGCUGCCAGUCUGCAAGGAGCCGCCAGAGCUGCCAGUCUGCAAGGAGCCGCCAGAGCUGCCAGUCAGCAUGGAGCAGCCAGGGCCGCCAGUCAGCAUGGAGCAGCCAGGGCCGCCAGUCAGCAUGGAGCAGCCAGGGCCGCCAGUCAGCAUGGAGCAGCCAGGGCCGCCAGUCAGCAUGGAGCAGCCAGGGCCGCCAGUCAGCAUGGAGCAGCCAGUCAGCAUGGAGCAGCCAGUCAGCAUGGAGCAGCCAGAGCAGCCAGUCAGCAUGGAGCAGCCAGAGCAGCCAGUCAGCAUGGAGCAGCCAGUCAGCAUGGAGCAGCCAGAGCUGCCAGUCAGCAUGGAGCUGCCAGUCAGCAUGGAGCUGCCAGUCAGCAUGGAGCAGCCAGUCAGCAUGGAGCAGCCAGAGCUGCCAGUCUGCAUGGAGCAGCCAGAGCUGUCAGUCAGCAUGGAGCAGCCAGUCAGCAUGGAGCAGCCAGAGCUGCCAGUCGACCAGACUCUUCCAGAGCUGCCAGUCGACCAGACUCUUCCAGAGCUGCCAGUCGACCAGACUCUUCCAGAGCUGCCAGUCGACCAGACUCUUCCAGAUCUGCCAGUCGACCAGACUCUUCCAGAUCUGCCAGUCGACCAGACUCUUCCAGAUCUGCCAGUCGACCAGACUCUUCCAGAUCUGCCAGUCGACCAGACUCUUCCAGAUCUGCCAGUCGACCAGACUCUUCCAGAUCUGCCAGUCGACCAGACUCUUCCAGAUCUGCCAGUCGACCAGGAUCUGCCAGUCAGCCAGGAUCUGCCAGUCAGCCAGGAUCUGCCGAAACCACCAGCCAGCCAGGAUCUGGUAGAUUCAUCAACCUGCCUGAGCUUCCUCUCACUCCUGAGCUUCCUCUCACUCCUGAGCUUCCUCUCACUCCUGAGCUUCCCCUCAGUUCCGAGCUGCCUCAGUCCCGAGCUGCCCCUCAGUCCCGAUCUGCUCCUCAGUCCAGUGGGGUUCUGGGUGAGGACUACUAGGCCAUGGUCGGCGGCGAGGGUGGACUAUCCAGGGACGCGAGGAGAAGGGACUAAGACAUUGAUUGAGUGGGGUCCACGUCCCGCGCCGGAGCCGCCACCAUGGACAGACGCCCACCCGGACCCUCCCUAUUGUUUUGAGGUGCGUUCGGGAGUCCGCACCUUAGGGGGGGGGUUCUGUCACACCCUGGUCAAAGUAUUUUGUGUUUAUCUUUAUUUAUUUGGUCAGGCCAGGGUGUGGCAUGGGUUUUUGUAUGUGGUGUGUAUGUAUGGGGAUUGUAGCUAGUGGGGUGUUCUAGCUAAGUCUAUGGCUGUCUGAAGUGGUUCUCAAUCAGAGGCAGGUGUUUAUCGUUGUCUCUGAUUGGGAACCAUAUUUAGGCAGCCAUAUUCUUUGAGUUUGUCGUGGGUGAUUGUCCUUUGUGUCCUGAAGUCAUUGUUCUGUGUUAGGAGACACAAGUAUAGGCUGUUUCGGGUUUUGUUAAGUUUAUUGUUUUGGUAGUGUUUGUGUUUAGUGUGUUAAUUCAUUAAACAUGGAUUGCAAUAGACACGCCGCAUUUUGGUCCGACUCUCCUUCACAUAAAGAAAACCGUUACAAUAGUACUUCAGAUAUGAUCCAUAUGAUCCAAGAUCGCAUAGCAGUUCAGACGUCUUUUGUCCUCGUCUUGUCGUGUCCUGUAUAUAUAUAUAUUUACAACUUUUUUCACAUACAUUUUAUUUUUAUUUUCCAUCAACUCAUCUUCUAAACACUCUCCUGCAACCAGCCUCACCAAUUUAUAUUUAUAAAAAAGUAUUAUUUACCUCAGAUCUGCAAUCCUUCAGGAAGCUAGCCAGAAACUCCAGGAGGCUGGCCAGAAACUAGCCAGAAACUAGCCAGAAGCUAGCCAGAAGCUAGCCAGGAG
rnacentral:lncRNA from 1 species